rnacentral:rRNA from 1 species
UACGUAGGUGGCAAGCGUUGUCCGGAUUUACUGGGCGUAAAGAGCUCGUAGGCGGUUUGUCGCGUCUGCUGUGAAAGACCGGGGCUCAACUCCGGUUCUGCAGUGGGUACGGGCAGACUAGAGUGAUGUAGGGGAGACUGGAAUUCCUGGUGUAGCGGUGAAAUGCGCAGAUAUCAGGAGGAACACCGAUGGCGAAGGCAGGUCUCUGGGCAUUAACUGACGCUGAGGAGCGAAAGCAUGGGGAGCGAACAGG